rnacentral:rRNA from 1 species
UACAGAGGUGGCAAGCGUUGUUCGGAUUCAUUGGGCGUAAAGGGUGCGUAGGCGGCGCGGUAAGUCGGGUGUGAAAUCUCGGAGCUUAACUCCGAGACUGCAUUCGAUACUGCCGUGCUUGAGGACUGGAGAGGAGACUGGAAUUUACGGUGUAGCGGUGAAAUGCGUAGAUAUCGUAAGGAAGACCAGUGGCGAAGGCGGGUCUCUGGACAGUUCCUGACGCUGAGGCACGAAGGUCAGGGGAGCAAACGGG